AACACAUGCAAGUCGAGGGGCAGCAUGGGAUAGCUUGCUAUUCAGAUGGCGACCGGCGCACGGGUGAGUAACGCGUAUCCAACCUUCCUGCCAGUAGGGAACAGCCCGGCGAAAGUCGGAUUAAUGCCCUAUGUUCUUCAAUGCGGACAUCUAAGUUGAAGGAAAGAUUCAUCGCUGGCAGAUGGGGAUGCGUCCGAUUAGCUUGCCGGCGGGGUAACGGCCCACCGGGGCGACGAUCGGUAGGGGUUCUGAGAGGAAGGUCCCCCACACUGGUACUGAGACACGGACCAGACUCCUACGGGAGGCAGCAGUGAGGAAUAUUGGUCAAUGGGCGUAAGCCUGAACCAGCCAAGUAGCGUGCAGGAAUGACGGCCCUACGGGUUGUAAACUGCUUUUAUGCGGGGAUAAAGUGCGGCACGUGUGCCGCUUUGCAGGUACCGCAUGAAUAAGGACCGGCUAAUUCCGUGCCAGCCGCAGC
rnacentral:rRNA from 1 species